rnacentral:rRNA from 1 species
CAAGUCGGCGGUAGAUGUGGCACCCCUCGCGAGUGGGGGAGGGGUGAGUAAUAUAUCUGAACGUGUCCCGUACAGGGGGAUAACGUAGCGAAAGUUACGCUAAUUCCGGAUACUAUCUACGGAUGAUUGCGGGGGAUCGGAUGAGCCCGCGCGAUUGGAGCGGCCUAUAUCGGAUUUGGCUCAUGGUGGGUCAAAUGCUCACCUGGUCAACGAUCUGUAGCUGGUCUGAUGGGACGACCAGCCACACUGGAACUGAGACACGGUCCAGACUCCUACAGGAGGCAGCAGUGGGGAAUUUUGGACAAUGGACGCAAGUCUGAUCCAACCAUUCCGCUUGGCCGAUGAAGGCCCUCGGGUUGGGAACUGCUUUUGUACUGAACCUACUGGUUUCCAUUCAUCCUGGGAGCUCAUGACUGUACCGUAAGAAUAAGCCCCGGCUAACUACGUGAUCCGAGCCGCGGUAAUACUUACUGUGCAAGCGUUAAUCGGAAUUACUGCUGGUAAAGCGAGGUGAAAUCCACUAUGUUAGACAGAUGUGAAAUCCCCGGGCUCAACCUGCUUACGGCCUUUGUGACUGCAUGGAUUUCCUGCUGUAGAGGGGGAUGGAAUUCAUCGUGUAGCAAACAAAUGCGUAGAUAUGCGCAGGAACACCCAUGGCUGACGCUAUCCCCUGGACCUGUGCUGAUCCUCAUGCACUAAAUCCUGUGGAGCAAACAGGAUUAGAUACCCUGUGCUUCCACUCCCUAUACGAUGACAUCUGUGUGUUGGGUCUUCACCUACUCAUGCCCCCUGCUGACGCCUGUAGUAGACCGCAUGCUGAGUGCGGCCGCAGGGUCACACUCAAGCGAAGUGACAG